GGGGGUUCGAGGAGCAUGCCAAGUGAUAAAACUAAGAAAAAUGCAUGAUAUGUGGUGAACAAGCAAAUGAUAUGCUAAUGAGGGGAAAUCCCUAAGGGUCUAGCGUUGGACUAGCCCAUUCUAUGAAUUCCGACUAGCGUUGGACUAGCGGAAACGUACAUUCAUCCAUUCCAUUCAUUCAUGGCUAUGAAAGCAAGUAGACAUGCCAAAAUACUCGUAAACACGUAGCACGUAGCACUUAGCAUGC
rnacentral:lncRNA from 1 species